rnacentral:rRNA from 1 species
UGCCAGCCGCCGCGGUAAUACUGAGGGUGCGAGCGUUAAUCGGAAUUACUGGGCGUAAAGCGCGCGUAGGCGGCCAAGCCAGUCGGAUGUGAAAGCCCCGGGCUCAACUCGGGAAUUGCAUUCGAUACUACUUGGCUAGAGUUUGGUAGAGGGUGACGGAAUUCCAGGUGUAGCGGUGAAAUGCGUAGAUAUAGGAAGGAACACCAGUGGCGAAGGCGACACCCUGGACCAAUACUGACACUGAGGUGCGAAAGCGUGGGGAGCAAACAGGAUUAGAUA